rnacentral:rRNA from 1 species
GAUGAACGCUGGCGGCGUGCCUAAUACAUGCAAGUCGAGCGAACAGAUAAGGAGCUUGCUCCUUUGACGUUAGCGGCGGACGGGUGAGUAACACGUGGGUAACCUACCUAUAAGACUGGGAUAACUUCGGGAAACCGGAGCUAAUACCGGAUAAUAUUUCGAACCGCAUGGUUCGAUAGUGAAAGAUGGUUUUGCUAUCACUUAUAGAUGGACCCGCGCCGUAUUAGCUAGUUGGUAAGGUAACGGCUUACCAAGUCGACGAUACGUAGCCGACCUGAGAGGGUGAUCGGCCACACUGGAACUGAGACACGGUCCAGACUCCUACGGGAGGCAGCAGUAGGGAAUCUUCCGCAAUGGGCGAAAGCCUGACGGAGCAACGCCGCGUGAGUGAUGAAGGUCUUCGGAUCGUAAAACUCUGUUAUUAGGGAAGAACAUACGUGUAAGUAACUGUGCACGUCUUGACGGUACCUAAUCAGAAAGCCACGGCUAACUACGUG